rnacentral:rRNA from 1 species
AAAGCGCGCGUAGGUGGUUUGUUAAGUUGGAUGUGAAAUCCCCGGGCUCAACCUGGGAACUGCAUUCAAAACUGACUGACUAGAGUAUGGUAGAGGGUGGUGGAAUUUCCUGUGUAGCGGUGAAAUGCGUAGAUAUAGGAAGGAACACCAGUGGCGAAGGCGACCACCUGGACUAAUACUGACACUGAGGUGCGAAAGCUUGGGGAGCAAACAGGAUUAGAUACCCUUGU